AUAUAUGUGUGUACACACACACACACACACACACACACACAUAUAUAUAGUGUGUGUGUGUGUGUGUAUAAGUUUUUAU